rnacentral:misc_RNA from 1 species
AUUNNCUCCUACCCAUGUGCACCAUACCAAUAGCUGUUGCCUCGGCGGGGUCACGCCCCGGGUGCGUCGCAGCCCCGGAACCAGGCGCCCGCCGGAGGGACCAACCAAACUCUUUCUGUAGUCCCCUCGCGGACGUUAUUUCUUACAGCUCUGAGCAAAAAUUCAAAAUGAAUCAAAACUUUCAACAACGGAUCUCUUGGUUCUGGCAUCGAUGAAGAACGCAGCGAAAUGCGAUAAGUAAUGUGAAUUGCAGAAUUCAGUGAAUCAUCGAAUCUUUGAACGCACAUUGCGCCCGCCAGUAUUCUGGCGGGCAUGCCUGUCCGAGCGUCAUUUCAACCCUCGAACCCCUCCGGGGGGUCGGCGUUGGGGAUCGGGAACCCCUAAGACGGGAUCCCGGCCCCGAAAUACAGUGGCGGUCUCGCCGCAGCCUCUCCUGCGCAGUAGUUUGCACAACUCGCACCGGGAGCGCGGCGCGUCCACGUCCGUAAAACACCCAACUUCUGAAAUGUUGACCUCGGAUCAGGUAGGAAUACCCGCUGAACUUAGUGACCUCAGAUCAUUGNU